ACCAUGUCAGGGUCUCAAGAUAGUUGCAAGUCCCUGAGACUUGCCAUCACUGCGGCUAAAUGAGAUCAUGCUCAGCCACAUUGACAUCAAAUAAUUUAAAAAGCUGCAUUUAGCUAUCCCCGUGAGUACUGCACGCAGCUCAUUUGGCAGUCUUAAGCCUAUGAAUAUGGCCCCAGCUGACAGAGGAGUGCUACAGGUCUCUGGUGUGAG